rnacentral:lncRNA from 1 species
GAUAGGUUUCUCAAAAAUAAAUACUAUAUAUUUUAAACUUGUUACUAGCAUUAUUUGUAUAAAGUUUUUUUUCAAAAUUUAACACUUAGAGGUAUGGGGAAAAUCUUGAUUCAGAAAAUAAUUUUUUUCUCACUUUUUUUGAAAAAAAAAACAUAACCCAAACCUCCCCUCAUGAGUUUAAACGGUUGUUCCCUUAUUACAUAUUUUUGUCAAUCAUUUAAUUAUCCCAAUGAUAACAUACAGAAAUUUCUGAAUUUACAGAAAUUUCAGAAUUAACAGUAAUUGAUUCUCACAUUGCUAAAUUUUUUGCUGUCAUCAUCUAUAUGAAAAGGUAACCAUUACAAGUAAAAAGAUAUAAAAU